rnacentral:rRNA from 1 species
UACAUGUGGGGCAAGCGUUGUUCGGAAUUACUGGGCAUAAAGGGUGCGUAGGUGGCUUGUUAAGUCAGGGGUGAAAGUUUUCGGCCCAACCGGAAAAUGGCCUUUGAUACUGGCGAGCUCGAGUGCGUGAGGGGUAACCGGAACGAGCAGUGUAGCGGUGAAAUGCGUAGAUAUGACAUAGAACACCAAUUGCGAAGGCAGCUGGCUACACGAAUAUUGACACUGAUGCACGAAAGCGUGGGGAUCAAACAGG